rnacentral:rRNA from 1 species
AGCGAACGCUGGCGGCAGGCCUAACACAUGCAAGUCGAACGAAGUCUUCGGACUUAGUGGCGGACGGGUGAGUAACACGUGGGAACGUGCCUUUAGGUUCGGAAUAACUCAGGGAAACUUGUGCUAAUACCGAAUGUGCCCUUCGGGGGAAAGAUUUAUCGCCUUUAGAGCGGCCCGCGUCUGAUUAGCUAGUUGGUGUGGUAAAGGCUCACCAAGGCGACGAUCAGUAGCUGGUCUGAGAGGAUGAUCAGCCACAUUGGGACUGAGACACGGCCCAAACUCCUACGGGAGGCAGCAGUGGGGGAUCUUGCGCAAUGGGCGAAAGCCUGACGCAGCCAUGCCGCGUGAAUGAUGAAGGUCUUAGGAUUGUAAAAUUCUUUCACCGGGGACGAUAAUGACGGUACCCGGAGAAGAAGCCCCGGCUAACUUCGUGCCAGCCGCCGCGGUAAGAC